rnacentral:rRNA from 1 species
GACGAGGGGUCCUAGCGUUGUUCGGAAUCACUGGGCGUAAAGCGUUCGUAGGCGGCUCUCUAAGUCGGGUGUGAAAUCCCACGGCUCAACCGUGGAAGUGCAUUCGAAACUGCAGAGCUUGAAUAUGGUAGAGGGUAGUAGAAUUCCUGGUGUAGUGGUGAAAUACGUAGAUAUCAGGAGGAAUACCAGUGGCGAAGGCGAUCAUCUGGGACUAACCUGACGCUGAGGAGCGAAAGCCAGGGGAGCAAACGGG